CUAACACAUGCAAGUUGAGCGGAGGUAGAUGGAGCUUGCUCUAUGUACCUUAGCAGCGAACGGGUGAGUAACACGUAGAUAAUCUGUCCUAUAUUGGGGGAUAGCCCGAUGAAAGUUGGAUUAAUACCGCAUACAGCUAUAUAGUUGCAUGAUUAUAUAGUGAAAGAUUUAUUGAUAUAGGAGGAGUCUGCGGCACAUUAGCUAGUAGGUGAGGUAAGAGCUUACCUAGGCGACGAUGUGUAGCCGGUCUGAGAGGAUGAACGGCCACAAUGGAACUGAGACACGGUCCAUACUCCUACGGGAGGCAGCAGUGGGGAAUAUUGCACAAUGGGGGAAACCCUGAUGCAGCAACGCCGCGUGAGUGAAGAAGGUUUUCGGAUUGUAAAGCUCUGUUAGCAGGGAAAAGGAAGGACGGUACCUGCAGAGGAAGCCACGGCUAACUACGUGCCAGCAGCCGCGGUAAUACGUAGGUGGCAAGCGUUGUUCGGAAUAACUGGGCGUAAAGGAUGCGUAGGCGGUUAAAUAAGUUAUAUGUUAAAUAUAUAGGCUUAACCUGUAGAAAGCAUAUAAAACUGUUUAACUAGAGUGCAGGAGAGGUAAGUGGAAUUCCUAGUGUAGCGGUGAAAUGCGUAGAGAUUAGGAAGAACACCAGUGGCGAAGGCGACUUACUGGACUGUAACUGACGCUGAGGCAU
rnacentral:rRNA from 1 species